GUGGCAUGCUCGCUACAGAGUGUAUGCUGCAGCAAACUGGAGGAGUACCUGUAUGGAAGACAGCCUAGAGACACCCUGAGGAGUCAGUUUUAGGGGGGAGACCAGCAGGGCUGGAGGCCGCAUUUGGCUGCCAGACUUCAUGGAAGUAACAUCUCCUGGAGAAGUGGCUGCUCCGAGUACAACUACAAGGUGUUCACAAAACAAACCUUGUCACACUCAUUCCCACACCAUGCCCUUUCCCUA